rnacentral:sRNA from 1 species
ACACGCCUUUUCCCUCUGCCACCAGCGCUCGGGAGGAAUCGCCAUUGGUAGCGAGAAGAAUGACAGCAACAUUUUCGCGCCAGCCAAGACCCAGGCGCCGAGAGAAAGUUUCAACCAAGCCGACCUCCUAGGAUCAAGGACCUGCCAGGCUUAGCGUGGGCGAUGUGUGAGUUGGCAGAGCUAAGAUGGCUCUAAGUGUAUCUUGGCUGGGGGUGCUUGGUUCUGGCCAUGAUUACAUGGAGUACAUGGAAGGAGCGUGAAAUAUAAAAUGAAAGAUCAAUACGCCGCACAAAACGCGUACUGAACCUCAAAUGACUGCAGAAAGUUAAAGAUAAAGAGUUUGGUCAAGCUUCAGGCACCAAACUUUUUUAGCUUGAUCAGGGCUAAAGUGGAGAAUGGAC